rnacentral:lncRNA from 1 species
CUAUUUUUCUUUAAAUAAGGCCCAAACAUUUUAUUUUAAAAUAGUCAAUCAAUUUAAAAUAAAGGCCCAUCAGUUAAUUAAAUUAAAAGGAGGCCCAAAGCCCAUUCUCAUGCUAACUCCAACAUAAACACACACUAAAACACAUUUAAACACACACACUCAGCCACAACUUCACACACCCACACACGCACCCUCUCAUCUCACUCUCUCUCUCGGACGGUCUGUCCGCCGCCGCUGCCGUUCAACGGCGCCGUCGCCGCCGGCGAGCGGCGCGGCUCUCCCUUCUUCGGCAUCUCUCCUCUCCCUGACCCCAGAUCCUCUUUCUAGACUGCCGAGACAAGGCGGCAGACGCAACCACCGCGGUGCGCCGCCGCUGCCCCUGUUCUCCCUCUCCCUCUCUCGGCCUCCGGCGAAGCAACCACCGCGGUGCCGCCGCCGUGAAGCAGGUAAACCCUAACUCCCUCUCUACUUUCCUCAUCUUCUUCCCCUUUCAAAUUAAAACUGAAAACUCCUCUCUCUCUUCCGAUUUGGCUGAAUCGGAGCAACGGCGACGUCACGGCUGUCACGUUACCGCCGCCGCCGCCGACGACGAGCCACCAUGGCUCCGCCGCCGACCGCCGUCGAAAACAGGUAACCCUAAUUUCCCUUCUCUCCUUUCCAUUUUCUCCUACCACCUUCUUCAUUUUAAUUAAAAGCUGAAAACCCUCUCCUCUUUCCCCUUCUUGGCAAAUCGGAGACAACGGCAGUUUCGCCGCCGCCGCUCCGACGCCGGCGACGUGCCUCCGCGGCAGCCGCCUCCCUGAACCCUUCUCACUUCUCACACACGAAUCAGGGGAUUCAGCCCCGAUUUCAUUCAACACAUAGAAAUAGGCUUUUUACUGAAUUCAUUUUCAAAUAUUGUAAAUGUUCUUCAAUCGAGCAUACUGCACUUAAACAUUCAUUCUUGUAAUUGCAACCCUUCAUUUGUAUAUGUAAAUUCUGUUUAUAAACAGGCUGCAUAUGCACAUAAAAUGGAAUAUGAGAAAUUCGUAUGUGUUGGUGGUUCUCUGUUAGAAUUUCUAAGAUUAAAACAAGAAUU